rnacentral:rRNA from 1 species
GACCGAACCGACUAAUGUUGAAAAAUUAGCGGAUGACCUGUGGCUGGGGGUGAAAGGCCAAUCAAACCGGGAGAUAGCUGGUUCUCCCCGAAAGCUAUUUAGGUAGCGCCUCGUGAAUUCAUCUCCGGGGGUAGAGCACUGUUUCGGCUAGGGGGCCAUCCCGGCUUACCAACCCGAUGCAAACUGCGAAUACCGGAGAAUGUUAUCACGGGAGACACACGGCGGGUGCUAACGUCCGUCGUGAAGAGGGAAACAACCCAGACCGCCAGCUAAGGUCCCAAAGUCAUGGUUAAGUGGGAAACGAUGUGGGAAGGCCCAGACAGCCAGGAUGUUGGCUUAGAAGCAGCCAUCAUUUAAAGAAAGCGUAAUAGCUCACUGGUCGAGUCGGCCUGCGCGGAAGAUGUAACGGGGCUAAACCAUGCACCGAAGCUGCGGCAGCGAACGUAUCACCCAAGACAACUUUACGGAGUUGACGAUUGACGGAGCGAAGCGACGUCAAAGCGUUCAUUAAAGUCGAGUUGGCUUAGGGAUACGUUCGUUGGGUAGGGGAGCGUUCUGUAAGCCUGUGAAGGUGUGUCGUGAGGCAUGCUGGAGGUAUCAGAAGUGCGAAUGCUGACAUAAGUAACGAUAAAGCGGGUGAAAAGCCCGCUCGCCGGAAGACCAAGGGUUCCUGUCCAACGUUAAUCGGGGCAGGGUGAGUCGACCCCUAAGGCGAGGCCGAAAGGCGUAGUCGAUGGGAAACGGGUUAAUAUUCCCGUACUUGGUGUUACUGCGAAGGGGGGACGGAGAAGGCUAUGUUGGCCGGGCGACGGUUGUCCCGGUUUAAGCGUGUAGGUGUGUGUUCCAGGUAAAUCCGGUUCACUUUAACACUGAGGCGUGACGACGAGGCACUACGGUGCUGAAGCAACAAAUGCCCUGCUUCCAGGAAAAGCCUCUAAGCAUCAGGUAACAUC